AGGUUAAUGAUGAGAACUCAUAUUGUCUGAAAGAAAGAUUAUGACCUAAAAAUCAAAAAUAGGACUAGUGUGAAGCCC
ensembl:snoRNA SNORD115 Small nucleolar RNA SNORD115